GUCAUUAUGUUGUGUGUGUGUGUAAUAAAAAUAUGUUACCUCUAAGUUUUUUUGGUAAUUCUUAUUAUAACAAUACAAAUAAUAAUAAUUAUAAUAACAAUGAUGAUGAUGAUGAUGAUAAUUUGGCUCGUUGGUCUAUCUGAUUCUCGCUCUGGGUGCCAGACGUUCAGGGUUCAAAUCCUGGACGAGCCGUCUCCAGGUAUUAAUGCAGUCAACGAGUGCCACAUAAGAAGCUAACUUAAGCGCUGCCGACCCGUUCAGGGUCUACCCUGCCUCUCGCCCAUACCCAGCUGGGUUAGGCUCCAGCGCUCCCGUGACCCCGCAUAUGGGAAUAGGCCGAUUGGAAAUAGGAUGGAUGAUGAUCAUAAUAAUAGCUUCGAUCUUUACGAGAUGUGCAUAAACGCAGCUCCCUCCGGCCACAUGGCUAAUUUGCAUGCAUGCGUCACAGGUCACGCCCCAGGUCACGCCCCAACUUCCUCUGUAACGUUCCGUUUUGUCUUCACGACGUCGGGCAAAAACCUAGGACAAAAAGAGCAGGAAACAAAAGGGCCAGCUGGCUGCAUCCCGCGGAGACGCGCCGGGCCGUACCGCGUGUGGUGGGCGUGUCCGCGGGUGCAAAAAACUAUCCGAACCGUUGCCAAGCAUUGCGCCACCUGGAAACCAAUCCUCUCUUUCCGGUUGUCCUACAUGGCUUGCAUCCUAAUUGGUCUGUCCUACUUGUCAGCUAAACGAUGUAAUUGGCUAGUUUUGCUGGACACCGCGAGGAAGAGGCGUCAAUUUUAUUCUACUUCACUGCCAUUCCGUUUUUAAAGACUCAGUCUUUGUCGACAUUUCUUUCUUUACAGCGAUAAACUUUAUUGUGAGUAGCGGACUUUUCACGAAGUCUCCUCCACAGUACACGACGUUUUCGACAGUUCUUUAUAUUUGCUUUUCAUUGUCGGAGUUUCACGAAGAUCAUGGACCAUCGCCCUUUGUUCCGUGUGCAGCCUUCGUCCACUGAGCUCACUCUCAGGCCCUCACCAGAAGCACUGACGGUGGCCCAGGCCUAUCAUGGGUCUGAGGCAUGGAAGGUGAAGGUGCCUCAGAAGGUGAAGGAGGAGGCGAAAGCUCGCAUUCUGCAAGGAGGAGGAGAUCCCCACUGCUCCCAGCUGCUUCUCAGCCAAUAUGAGAUCCAGUUUGGGCAGUACCGGGGACAGACCUUCAAGUGGCUCCUGAGUCACGACGUGGGCUACGCUGUGGCCCUGCUGGCCUCACACCAGAAGGAGCGGGAGAGUGGUGACACAUCCAGCUCACCACUUAUGGCCAACAAGGUGCUGUGGAGUACAACACAGAAAUAUCUCACUCAUCCUAGUACAGUAAAAGUAGAGCCAUCAUUAGAACUAUUAUACGGAUCCCAACUCACACAGCUCAAUCAGAGCAAUCAUCAAGAAAUUCCUAUUUCUGUCAUAAUACACAUAUUCUGUUCUCCCGCUACACAGGAUGCCCUCACCUCCUACAGCAAGCUGUUCCCAGAGGUGAUGUCAGCCGUGGAGGGACGCCGUGCCACGGAGGGUUCCAAGUCUGUCCGGAGCCAAGACAAGAAGUUGGUGGAGUUCGGCCCCCACGGAGCCAUGACCUACGCCUCCAUGUACGAGGCCACGGGGAAAGAGGUUGAGACCUACGUGCAGUGGCUGAGGAAGAAGAAGUGCAUCCCAGGCAGCUCUCUGCAUGCUUUAAAGACCUACAUACUGGGCCGGGACCAGGAGAAGAACCAGCAUCCCUCCCAGCAGCCCCAGUGCCCACCAUCUGACGGUGUUGUGCUCCCAGUUGCUGUUCCUGCUGCCUCCACGCGUGUCUCUGAAAAGCUGAUUUCUUUGUCUUCUCUGUGUGAAACAGCUGCUAACGAGCCCUCAGACGAGAUGCUCCUGGCUGCUGCCUUAGAGGUGGAGAGUCAGCGUGAGUUCACUCACACGCACACGCACACAUGCAAUGGUUAUAACCCUUUAUCAAAUGUAAUGAUUCUGUGGUGA
rnacentral:lncRNA from 1 species